rnacentral:tRNA from 1 species
GUCCGGGUGGCGGAAUUGGCAGACGCGCUAGCUUGAGGUGCUAGUCCCCGUCAAGGGGGUGGGGGUUCAAGUCCCCCCUCGGACACC